rnacentral:lncRNA from 10 species
AGGCAAGAUGUAUGGUCGGAAUGAACUGAUCGCCCGCUACAUCAAGCUGAGAACGGGGAAGACCCGAACUCGAAAACAGGUCUCGGAAUGGACUUGUGGGCUUCUGUCUGGGAUGGGCCGGUCUUCUUAGGGUCAUCCUCGCAUGGGCAGGUUCAGGUUCAAGGAAGAAGCUGCUUCCUGUGCGUUCAUCUGUCUUCUCGGCAUGUGUG